UUCCGGUGAUCCCGCGGAGUAGGUAAAAGGUGCGAUUAAGCCAUGCGAGUCGAGAGGGUUCGGCCCUCGGCGUACUGCUCAGUAACGCGUGGAUAACCUGCCCUAGGGAAGGGGAUAACCCCGGGAAACUGGGGAUAAUACCCUAUAGGUUACAGAUGCUGGAAUGCUCUGUAACCCAAAGUUCCGGCGCCCUAGGAUGGAUCUGCGGCCGAUUAGGUUGUUGUUGGGGUAAUGGCCCAACAAGCCAGUAAUCGGUACGGGUUGUGGGAGCAAGAGCCCGGAGUUGGAUUCUGAGACACGAAUCCAGGCCCUACGGGGCGCAUCAGGAGCAAAAACUUUCAAUGCGGGCAACCGGGGUGAGGGAACCUCGAGUGCCUGUAUAUGCAGGCUGUUCAGGUGUCUAAAUAACACCUGAAGAAAGGGCCGGGCAAGACCGGUGCCAGCCGCCGCGGUAAUACCGGCGGCUCGAGUGGUGGCCGCUUUUAUUGGGCUUAAAGCGUUCGUAGCUGGGUUAUUAAGUCUCUUGGGAAAUCCGGCGGCUCAACCGUCGGGCGUCUAAGGGAUACUGGUAAUCUUGGAACCGGGAGAGGUGAGGGGUACUUCGGGGGUAGGAGUGAAAUCCUGUAAUCCUCGAGGGACCACCUGUGGCGAAGGCGCCUCACCAGAACGGCUUCGACAGUGAGGGACGAAAGCUGGGGGAGCAAACCGGAUUAGAUACCCGGGUAGUCCCAGCCGUAAACUAUGUGCGUUAGGUGUAUCGACGACCACGAGUCGUCGAGGUGCCGAAGGGGAACCGUGAAACGUACCGCCUGGGAAGUACGGUCGCAAGGCUGAAACUUAAAGGAAUUGGCGGGGGAGCACCACAACAGGUGGAGCCUGCGGUUUAAUUGAUUCAACGCCGGA
rnacentral:rRNA from 1 species